CGCCCCUGCACACGCCGCCUGCGCCCUCCGCCGCCCGCAGGGAGCCCUCGGUGCACGCCCCGGCGCGGGAGCGGGAGCGGGAGCGGGAGCCGCAGCCGGAGCCGGAGCCGGAGCCGGAGAGCGCGCAGGGCCGCGGGCAGCGUCGACGCGCACAAGCCCCGCUCGCCCGCGAACAAACUUUUCCGCCUCCUCCCCUCGGCGCUGCGCGAAGCCCCGGCGCGGCGGGCCGGGGGGCGGGGCGGGGCCGGGGCGGGCCGGGGGGCGGGGCCGGGGCGGGGCAGGGGCGGGGCCGGGGUCGCCCCGCCCCCGGGGAGGCCGGGCUCGGAGCCCCGGCGGCCGCGCAGGGGGGAGCGGAGCCGAGCGCGGCCGCCCCGAGGGUCCCGUCCCCGCCCCCCGGGCCGCCGUCGCCGCCGCCGCCGCGUCCUGGGAAGCCGACAGCAGACGCAGCUAAGCGAGGAGGCGGGUGUGCGCGCAGCCGGGCCCGUCCUGGGGCGGCCUUCGGGGUGGGAGGCGCGGGGCGCGCGGGAGGCAAGUCCAGUGAGCGCUGCUAUCGGGGAGCCUUUGAAUUCCAAAUUAAAAAGAAAAAGAAAAUCAGACGUGAUCCUACCCUCCACAGAUGAAACAGUGGUUUCAGUGAAAGUUCUAACAUGCUUACUGGUCUUUUUUUUUUUUUGGCCAUAUAUAUCAGCUCAAGAAAUAAAAACAAUUAAAGGUGAUCGGGGCCACAGCAGAUUGGAAACCCCAGAGUUCAUCAGUGAACACCCUGCUCCUCCAGAUAAUUCUACUACACCUGGAUUCGCACUUCCAGCCGUGACCCAGUUUGACUUCCUAAGUGACCCCACCCCCACACCCCGGCUCAGAACUGUCUCUCCUACUGGCUGGCACAGUAACUGAAGUUUUUUUUUUAUCAUUAAGCUCAUUCCUUUAGGAUAAACUUCAUUGUCCUUUUAAAAUGAGAGGGUAAAAAAUAAAUAAAUAAAAAUUAAAAAAAUAAAAUAAGAGGGUAUUAUCUGGGAAGGGUAACAAAUUAACAUAUGAAAUUUAUUUUCAAUAGGGGUGAUACUGUGAUAUGGGCAGCUGCCACUCACUUCCCCAGAAUGUCAUGUGACCCUUCGGAAGAAGCCACUCUGCUUCUGCUCUUGCUGCCUUUGCUCAUUGCAGUGAUAUUUUCCACCCCAAGUGCAGGGGGUGUAAAAAUAAAGGAAGCAGCCCCCCCUUAUCCAUUUCCUUUGGGGGAGAAUUAGUUACACAAAGCAUGUAAAGUCGGGAGAAAUGAUCAAAACUGAUCAUUGGUAGGGGGAAGGAGAGAGCAUGCAGGGGAGUUUUAGACCACAAAUAGCUCCUUCAAGAGGGCAAGUUGGAUUCUAGGGAGUGAAACCCCUAACAGCUGUGUGGUUAGCAUGAAAGUACCAGGUGCCUGGAAAAGGAGCCCUUCUGGGUUGGAGCGGGGGUGUUAGGGAGAGUGAGAUGCCAACACAGAGUAGACCUACUUCAUAGUUUUGAGCUUUCUUUCAGUAAAUAGUGUAUAAUAGAGCCAGGUGGAGGAAUGAGACAGGGGAUCUAAAUUGUUUAUGGGAGGAUAAGACUUGAAGAGUUUAAAGCAGGAGGUAGAGACAAGUGAGGAGAGACUGAGGGGAAAAGGUAUGAGCAACAGAGAGGGUCUUAAUAGCUUUUUUGAGGAAGCAGUGAUGUCAAUGGCACAGGUGUGGAUCCAACUUAGACACCCUGUUCUAGUGUGUAAGUGCAUAUUUUCUUUUUACACGGCUGGGUUAAAUUACUUCCUCUAGGUCAUCCAAUUAAUCACUUGGAGAGCAAGGAAUAGAAUUCAGCAUUCAAGGCUCUCAUUUCACAUCUGGAGCAGGGAAGCCAGGCUUCUCCUUCCUGCAACACCUCUUCAUUUAAAAAAAAAAAAAAAAAAAAGUCUUUUGCGAGUAAGGGAAGUUUUGAGCUCUUUUAUAGAUAAUUUGCGAAACCUUCUUUCUAUUUGUGUGAUUUCAAACUAGGGCACUGUUAGGAGGCAAAAACACUAUAAAUUGCUUUCUGGUUUAUCUUUCAUUCAAGAAUUUAAAGUAUCUAUCAAAAUUAUUUUGAAUUCCCCUCCCCUCUCCUAGCUUUCAAGCUAUUAUUCUGGGGAACAAAAAAAAAAAAAAAUGAGUUACAGAUCUGAGAAAGCAGUGUGUGUGGAGCUUAACUGCUCCAUGACUGAUUGUGUGAUAUAUUGCUCUUUUCACUAAUAACCACAAAGCAGGUAGAGGCAUGGCAGGCUAAUUGGGUUUAUAUGUCCAGCUGUAAGGCUAGACACUGCAUCAUUCUUUUCAGAAACCAGUGACUUUAGGCAUGUGGAACUCGUAGUCAUGACAACAAUAAACCCGCUUUGAGUCUGAGUUUCAGCUCAGAAACUCCCUUGUCUCCAUUACUUCCUGCUCAUGACCUGACUUUUCUUACUCUCUGGGGCUGGGGGCUGGGGAUUUAUGAAAGAUCUAUUGAACAGAGCUCCAGUAUAUGUUUAAUGCUUAAAAUGUCUGGGUUGAAAGUUUUGCUUGCACAGAUGGCUAAAGGCUGGAAGGAGGAUAGAUCAAUCAUUAUUAUAGCUAAUGACACGGUUAUAAGGGCAUACACAAAGGUGAGCUGACUUGGAAAAUGGGAAAAGGCAAUGUGAAAAUAGUGACUUGGAAGCCUUUCUUUGAAUAACAUAAAAAUAUCUAUCACAAAUAAAAUGUUCUUUUAAACACACAGGGGAAUUACACUAUGAUUCUACGAGUACGUAUCCAAAAAACACAAUGAGAAGUAGUGAGGCAAAAGUUAGUACACAAAGUUGAGCGUGUGUGUGUUGUGUGUGUGUGCAUGUGGCAUUUUAAGUCUAAAGACACAACAGAUGCUUAUGACAAAAUCCACGAGCGAUCAUGUUUUGUCCCAUAUGUUUAAUGGAUUUAAUGGUAACCACUUUAGGAGAUGGUAUAGCUCAGUGACAAAAGUCAACGGCCUCCACAAAAUGGAGCAAUAUUGGAAAGUUGUCUAACUAUACAAAGUCUCUGGCUAUUCAGCUGUAAAGAGAAAUGACAUGAUUUGCCCUGUUGGGUUGUUGAGAGAUGGAAUGAGAUCAUGGAGACAAGUGGAUCCUGGUGCCUGGGACAGGGUAAGCACUCAGUGCUGGUCACUGUCACUGUUGAUGCUGCUGGUGGUGUUGAUUUGUCCAGUAAUGGAGAUCUGUCCUUCAUGAGAUUAAAAUGAUUGAGACCUUCAUUGUUACAGAGACAUGAUCACAGAGAUUGGAAGACUUAAGACUUUUUUUUCUUUGGAAAGAUGUUUUGCUGGCUUUGCUAUUUUCUCUGUAUAAUCUGCAUUUUAAGGAGAAUAGAGAAUUAUUGGCUGGAGAAGGCAGGAAGUGCAGGGUGUGAAUUGCUAACAUAAAAGAUAUAUCUGGAGACUUUUGUGCCUUUUCACUGCACACCCAACCCCCCACAACAGGAAGUCAGAAGUUCCAGCAUCAUUUUUGUUUCCUAUUCCUCUAGCACAUUGACCUAGUUUUGUAGGAUUACCUUUUUUUAAGCUUCUAUUUUCCAGCAAGUCGCUACCUCAAGCCAAUAGGCAGAGAAAUAAGACAUAGAUCAAAUCUUAGAGAGCAGCCAAAUGCUUCCUUUCUUUUCUAUGUACUGAGAAAUGGAAUGAUUUGCUUUCCUCAGAGAUCAACUUCAUGAUUUCAUGAUCAUGUAGUUAAACUUCCUAGUAAACGAGAUGCUGCCCAGAGGCCAUGUUAUUCUCUGUGACCUUGUGGAGUGUGGAUCACCGUGUAGAAACCUGAGAAAGUACAUUCAUUUGUUAAGUUAUAAUUUGAGAAGCCAUGAACCACAAACUGAUUAUGUAUUUUUUUUCUUAUAGGAGUUUAGUGGUGUUGCAAAUAAUUUAAUUUCUCUUUACAUUGUCCCCUGACUGGCAGUUACAGUUUACAGCCAUGUAAAAUUAUUUUUUUGAGAUAACACAGAUCACAUUUUUGUCUUACAAAGUUUAUGAGAGAAAUAAAUUUUUGUAUGUCCCUCAUUAGCAUGAAAGUGUUAAUAUACCUCCAGAAAAAGAGAAAUGUCUUACUUUUCUCUAAUAAUUAUAUUAAUUUUUGGACAUUUUAUUUAUUUUUUAUUUCUUUAUUUUUAAGAUUUUAUUUAUUUAUUCAUGAGAGACACAGAGAGAGAGGCAGAGGGAGAAGCAGGCCCCAUGCAGGGAGCCCAAUGCAGGACUCGAUCCCGGGACCCCAGGAUCACGCCCUGAGCCAAAGGCUCAACCACUGAACCACCCUGGUAUCUCUAAUUUUUGUACAUUUUAAAUUGAUUUAAACAAUGAGCUGAUUAAUAUGAGAGAAAUUUAAACAUUAGCAAGUAAGACAUUUGGAAGUAUAAAAUAAAUAUACAUUAUAUAAUUACUGUAUUGCAGAAAAGAUGUGAUUGAGUGAAUAACUGUUCUGGAUAUUAUAAGCAUUAAUGAAAAGUAUCAUUACAAGCUUACAAAGGACUAUUACAAUAACGGUACUAUAAAAACAAUAUUUUUCAUCCAAAAUGGGUUUGCGAUGAUAGUUUUUCACCAUCUUUUAAUUAGAUUCAGAUAAAAAUGUAGCCAAACUUUGAAGAGUUUUCCCCUUGUUUCACAAGACCUCAUAAUUUCAUAAAUAUUGGUCCUAAAGUUUCCAAGCUUUAGAGGGGAUUUUGGAAAGCACAAGUCAUUUCUUUUUACAAAGUUAGAAUGUUUAGUCUAUGCA
rnacentral:lncRNA from 1 species